CUAUUUAUCUAGUAUAAAAAGUAUAAUUGACUUCCAAUCAAUAAGUCUGGUAUUACCAGGAUAAAUA
rnacentral:tRNA from 1 species